AACAUCCAAUGAGUCAUUUUUGUCGAUUUUGGUAGAGCUUCCUCCCUUCAAAAUUCUAGAGCGCCAAAGUUCAUAAUCUUCAAACCCUAACCCAAAACUCCCCCAAUAAGCUCUACGAGGCAUGUCAUUCUUCCUCGCACCUCCACUCUUCCGCUCUUGCCGUCUCAAGCACUUCCAAGCAUCUCGCUUUUCCUCUCUGUUCCACUCCCUCCGCCAGGGAAGGAGAGAUGUGAUCAGCUGCGGGGGUAUGGAUGCUUGUCUUUUUUCAUCACUAGUUGAUGUUUCGGAGUUCGAAUGUGAUAAGAUUAAUGAUGAUACUAGAACAACAGAGAAAGAUGCCACACUACGUUCGGCAAUCUCUCAGCUUGCUGGAGAUUUUGGAAAGGAAUCUAUGUUGUGUUUGCAGAGGUUUUUCAGCUCCCGAUAUGCACCUGUGAUUUCUACUGGAUCAUUAAAGCUUGACAUUGCUCUUGGGAUUGGAGGAUUACCUAAGGGAAGAAUAAUUGAAAUAUAUGGGCAAGAAGCUUCUGGAAAGACAACAUUGGCGCUCCACAUCAUUAAGGAAGCUCAGAAACUUGGAGGAUAUUGUGCAUAUUUUGAUGCAGAAAAUGCAAUGGACAUGUCACUUGCGGAAUCAAUGGGUGUAAAUGUAGAUAAUCUUCUUAUAUCACCUCCAGAUUCUGCUGAAAAUUUGUUGUGUGCCGUUAAUACUCUAGUUAAAAGUGGAUCUGUGGACGUAAUUGUGGUUGAUAGUGUAGCUGCCCUUGUUCCGCAAUGUGAACUUGAUGCUCUGAUUGGCAGUCCUCAGCAAGACAGUCAAUCACGAGUGAUGACUCGAGCAUUAAGGAAAAUACAUCAUUCACUAAGUCUAUCUCAAACUCUGAUUAUUUUUACCAAUCAGGUUAGAUCAAGUGCAGGAUCUCGGAAUGGUUUUGAACAUAUGAAUGAGGUAACCUGUGGUGGGAAUGCCUUGCAAUUUUAUGCAGCAGUCAGAUUGAGGCUUUUGAGAAGGGGAUUAUUGAAGAGUGACGACAAGGUCACUGGUCUUGCAGUCGGCGUGCAGGUGGUGAAAAAUAAGUUAGCCCCGCCUAUGAAAAUGGCAGAACUGGGGAUACAUUUUGGGAGGGGGUUAUGGUGUGAAUCUGAGGUUCUGGAAUUGGGUUGUGAGCAUGGAGUUAUUCUUCAAGAUGGAAGCAACUUUCAUAUUGAAGGGAGGAUUUGCAGCAGCAAGCAUGAGGCAGAGCAGUAUCUGAUGGAAAAUGAAGAUGUUCUUCAUAAGAUGGUUGAGAUAUUAAGAAACCAGUUAUUUGUACAAGAGUUCUUGAGCUCUUGAAAAUUUCCUUGCAUUAUAACUUUUCCAUUAUACCAAUAUGUUUAUAGCUGAAGCGAUUUUUGGUGUAUUUUGGUUGUUUCCGAUAAGUCAAGCAAGUGAGAAAUCGUUGGAGAAGUCGAAAGUCUUCCGAAGCUUCUCUUUUGAGAACUGACAGAAGGAAGAGAGCAACCAUUUAAUCUAUUACUUGCCUUAAUUAGCUGAUGGGAAGUGCUUGGAGACGUCAUUGUUGCUACCAUUGGCCUACAGUUGUUGAGUUUUUUUCCCCAGUUUCCAAGACGAGCAAAAAGCAACCUUGUUGAAGAUUCAUGGAGUGAAUUCACUGAGCUUUCCUCAUCUUCAGUAUGUAUCUUAACCUAUGGCACGUGGUAUUUUGAUUAUGGCGUCAAGCUCAAGCACAGCCGACGAUGACAUCCACACGGUGAUGACGAUGAUACCAUCUUUAACCUUUGUUAUCACACGGACCAUACCUUCAAGUACACUACGGUGUUGCUUCACAUCUUUCCUUACUCUUCUAGUUACUUAGAGAAUACCCAUCUCUCAAACACGCAACCCUAAUUUCCUCCUUCCUCACAUUGCUCGGCCUCAACCAAGGCGCUUCACGAAUUGCGAUCAUCUCAGUUCUCGUUUUCACCGAUAUUUAAUGGUGGUCAAAACAAAUAGUGAAGCUCUACUUAUAUUUACCGAUAGACUCAUUACAAUAUAAUCGAUCACUGAUAGACUCCUAGAGUUAGAUCUAAAUCUUAUCAUAUAUACAAAUUUUUUUGCAUUGUGUUAUAUUUGUUAA